rfam:Ovis aries breed Texel chromosome 4, whole genome shotgun sequence.
UCCCUGUUGGCUCAGAUGGUAAAGAAUCUGCCCACAAUGCAGAAGACCUGGGUUCAAUCCCUGAAUUGGGAA